GAUGAACGCUGGCGGCGUGCCUAAUACAUGCAAGUCGAGCGAAAGGACGAGAAGUUUGCUUCUCUGAUGUUAGCGGCGGACGGGUGAGUAACACGUGGACAACUCACCUAUAAGACUGGGAUAACUUCGGGAAACCGGAGCUAAUACAGGAUAAUAUUUUGAAACGCAUGGUUAAAAAGUGAAAGACGGUCUUGCUGUCACUUAUAGAUGGAUCCGCGCUGCAUUAGCUAGUUGGGAGGGUAACGGCUUACCAAGGCAACGAUGGAUAGCCGACCGGAGGGGGGGAUCGGCCACCCGGGACCUGAGACCGGGCCCGGACCCUUAGGGAGGGCAGCGGGAGGAAAUCUGCCGCAAUGGGGGAAACCCUGUCGGGGCAUCGCGGCGGGGGUGAGGAAGGUUUUCGGUUCGUAAGACUCUGUUAUUGGAAAAGAACAUAUGGGUAAGUAACGGUGCGCAGCUGACCGGAACCUAAGCAGAAGGCCACGGCUAACAACUG
rnacentral:rRNA from 1 species